GACAGAGGAGCCAAGCGUUGUCCGGACUGACUGGGCGUAAAGCGCCCGCAGGCGGCCGUGCGCGUGGGGUGUGAAAGCUCGCGGCUUAACUGCGAGAGGCCAUCCCAUACGGCACGGCUCGAGCCGUCCAGAGGCCGGUGGAAUUGCCGGUGUAGUGGUGAAAUGCGUAGAUAUUGGGAGGAACACCAGUGGCGAAGGCGGUCCCCUGGGCCGGAACUGACGCUGAGGCGCGAAAGCGUGGGUAGCAAACGGG
rnacentral:rRNA from 1 species